AUUGAACGCUGGCGGCAUGCCUAACACAUGCAAGUCGAGCUCGCGUCGAAUGGGUGAGGAAUGUAUGUGGACUGCCCCAUAUAGGGGGAUAACUACCGGAAACGGUAUCUAAUAUCCCAUACUAUCGGAUAACCCAUAUGGUAUGAGCUGGUAGGUGUGGUAAUGUCUCACCAAGGCGACGCUCCCUAGCUGGUCUGAGAGGAUGAUCAGCCACACUGGAACUGAGACAAGGCCCAGACUCCUACGGAGGCAGCAGUGGUGAAUAUUGCACAAUGGGCGCAAGCCUGAUGCAGACAUGCCGCGUGUAUGAAGAAGGCCCUCGGGUUGUAAAGUACUUUAAGUCGGGAGGCGUUACCGACAGAAGAAGCACCGGCUAACUCCGUGCCAGCAGCCGCGGUAAUUC
rnacentral:rRNA from 1 species